UUAUAUGUUGUAUAUAAGAUAUAUAUGAGAGAGAGAGAGUCAGAGAGACACAGAGAAGAACGAAGAGAAAAGUUAAUCUCUCAACCCCAAGCUUUUUCCUAUUUUACUGAAUGCUAGAUAACAAAAAUGAAUAGAAAAUUUUUCCUUCCUUCAGGAAGAUAAUAAAAGCCUGUGGAAAGAGAGAUGUAGAAGACAAACCCUGUAAUCAUAAUUUCACAUGACGCGUGCUUUAAUCAGAGACAUUAGUGGAGUAUAGGAAAUAACAUGGCCAAUUCUGUCUGGUGACAUCAGGAAGGGUGUCAAAGAGAAAGCAAAUUUUGAAAUGAAACUUAUUAUUCAAAUUUCACCAGAUGGGCAAGUAGGAUUUCACCAGAUGGGCAAGCACCAAAAGAGGGAGGCAGGCUAAAGGAACUAUGGAAGGAAAGAGUGAUGAGAUAAUACCAGGAAAAAAAAUCAACACUCCCUCCUCCACCGGAAUAUGGCAAUGGAAGAAAAUUUGGAGGAAUGAAUGGAGUAAAAGUUAUUGAACAAAAUUGAGUUUCUGGCUGUAGUGGAUCUUUAUUGGACAUCUGUGUAGAAAUGCCCAGGAGGCUCUGUAAGUCCAGUUCUGGCACUUAGAAGAAAGGGUCAACCCUGUAGGUCUAGUGAUUAGCAAGUAUGAGCUGUCUUGGUGUGAUUAACUUAGAAGAUAUGAAACAGAAGCAACAAACAAACUACAACGCCAUUCACUGCCCAAACAUACACUCCUUUCCUUAUAAGAAACUCACUGAAGUCAUUGCAAUGCUCUAUGUCUCAGUGUAUUUUCAAUAUAUUUAGAAGUUGAAUUGAGAAACCCUUAGGCCCCUUCAGGCAAUGCAUGGUUCUUUGACAGGCAGAGACGGACGCAGCAUCAGUCAUAGGCAAAGAUCGCCACCAGGGGGCAGACCAGAGCAUCCUUGGGAUUCUGUGAUUAGCCAGCUGGUGAAUGGAGACAGUGGUCACAACUCUCCCCACAGAAGGUGGUGUGAGGCCAUCACAGAAGAUGCUGAUGCUUCUGCUGCUUCUGGGGCCAGCAGGCUCCGGGUUUGGCGCUGUCGUCUCUCAACAUCCAAGCAGGGUUGUCUGUAAGAGUGGAACCUCUGUGAAGAUCGAGUGCCGCGCCCUGGACUUUCAGGCCACAACUAUGUUUUGGUAUCGUCAGUCCCAGAAACAGGGCCUCACGCUGAUGGCAACUUCCAAUGAGGGCUCCGACGCCACAUAUGAGCAAGGCUUCCCAGAUGACAAAUUUCCCAUCAGCCAUCCAAACCUGACCUUCUCAUCUCUGACAGUGGCCAGUGCCCAGCCUGAAGACAGCAGCUUCUACCUCUGCAGUGGUAGAGACACAGCGCCAGGAGGGGAUGAGAGAGCAUGGCAAGAACCCCUGCAGCAGCCCUCCGCCCCAACAGGCCCUCUGAGUGCUGAGAAAGGAGGCGUGGAGAAUGGAAAACCACAGCUUCCCUGA